rnacentral:rRNA from 1 species
GACGAACGCUGGCGGCGUGCCUAACACAUGCAAGUCGAGCGAGAUUAUCUUCGGAUAGUCUAGCGGCGGACGGGUGAGUAACACGUGGGUAACCUGCCUCAUAGAGGGGGAUAGCCUCCCGAAAGGGAGAUUAAUACCGCAUAAUUUGACACUGGCGCAUGCCAGAGUCAGUAAAGGAGUAAUCCGCUAUGAGAUGGACCCGCGGCGCAUUAGCUAGUUGGAGAGGUAACGGCUCACCAAGGCGACGAUGCGUAGCCGACCUGAGAGGGUGAUCGGCCACAUUGGAACUGA